CAAGAGAUAGUUUAAAUAAAAUAUUAAUUUUGGAUAUUAAAGAAGUCAGCUUCUCUCUUGG
rnacentral:tRNA from 1 species